rnacentral:misc_RNA from 1 species
GAUGAAGAACGUAGCGAAAUGCGAUAAGUAAUGUGAAUUGCAGAAUUCAGUGAAUCAUCGAAUCUUUGAACGCACCUUGCGCUCCUUGGUAUUCCGAGGAGCAUGCCUGUUUGAGUGUCAUGAAAUUCUCAACCUUUUCAGCUUUCUUUGUUGAUCAGGCUUGGAUGUGGGAGUAUGCGGGCUUCUCAGAAGUCGGCUCUCCUGAAAUGCAUUAGCGGGACCUUUGUUGCCUGGCUUUGGUGUGAUAAUUAUCUACGCCAUUGUAGUCAAGCAGCUUAAAAUGAGGUUUCAGCUUCUAAACGUCUCCCCUGAGACAACUUUUUGACAAUUUGACCUCAAAUCAGGUAGGACUACCCGCUGAACUUAAGCAUAUCAAUAAGCGGAGGA